rnacentral:misc_RNA from 1 species
CUUGUUCAACAUGCAAAGACCUCUACCAUACGCGGUGCCUAGAGCCAGCAUCACUUGAUGUGAAUGAUGCAGAAGUCUAUAUUUGCCCUUAUUGUCAUUUUUGUGAGGAUCCAUCAAUGAUUCAAAAUGAGAGAUAUGGGGUGAGGCAACCUGAGUUAAGUAUGCUGAUCAAACAUUUAUCUGAUGCAGAACAUUUCUCUCUAGGGAUUGAAGAAAUAGAUACAUUACGACAGGUUGUGGAGCAAGCUCGGGAAUGCAAAACAUGCUUGAGAGAAAUAUUGGAUUUUGAAUUAUCGUAUUUGGGGAAAGAUCUUAAUGUUAUCUCUAGAAAAAUGAUUAUUGCUUUGAAGGUCAUGCGAGUAGCAGGUGUUCAUGAUCAUCAAGGUAACUAUGGCCUUGAACAGGCGUUAGCAAGAAAUUCCUGGAGAGUGAAGUCUAAGAGAUUAUUAGAGAGUAUACAGAAUCCCACAAUGCAACAGAUUGAGCAGCUUAUGAAAGAGGGACUGGCUGUGAAUAUACCUGCUGAAGAUUACUUCCUACAAAAAGUCACAGAGUUAAAGCACAUUGGUUUGCAGUGGGCAGAUCAUGCCAAGAAGGUCGCAUCAGAUUCUGGGGCUCUUGGUUUGGAUCAAGUUUUUGAACUUAUUUCAGAAGUUGAAAAUUUGCCAGUUUACUUGGAGAAGGAACUGAAGUUAUUGAGAACUCGAAGUAUGGUGUACUGCAUUUGUCGGAAACCAUAUGAUGAUAGACCAAAAGUUACUUGUGAUCGAUGUGAUGAGUGGUAUCAUGUUGAUUGUAUUAAGUUACUCUGCCCUCCAAAGAUCUAUGUUUGCGCUGCAUGUGAACCUCAAAAAAUGGAGUUAUCUACAUCAUCGCAAAUGGAUAAUGAGAGAUUGACAAGUGCCAAGCCUGUAGAACCAAAAAAACUUUCUCCACAGCACACAGAAUGGAAAAAGAAGCCCCUGGAGACCAAGUUUACAACUAGUAAUAGCAAAUUUGUUCGAACAAGUGGAAUUGAUCGAUUGUGGUGGCGAAACAGGAAGCCUUUUAGAAGAGAGGCCAAAAAAAGGGCUGAGCUUGAAAGUCUUUCUCCAUUUUUUCGUAUACAACAACAAUAAAGGAAGAA